rnacentral:rRNA from 1 species
UACGAAGGUGGCAAGCGUUGUUCGGAUUUACUGGGCGUACAGGGAGCGUAGGCGGUUGGAUAAGCCCUCCGUGAAAUCUCCAGGCUUAACCUGGAAAGUGCAGAGGGAACUGUUCAGCUAGAGGAUGGGAGAGGAGCGCGGAAUUCCCGGUGUAGCGGUGAAAUUCGUAGAUAUCGGGAGGAACACCGGUGGCGAAGGCGGCGAUCUGGGUCGAUACUGACGCUGAGGUGCGAAAGCGUGGGGAGCAAACAGGG